CAAAUUGUCAUUAUUAGUUAGUGUUGGCAAAAUAACUCAAAAGAGAUAAGUCAGACAAUUUAAAAGUGUAGCAAUCACACCAAACUCUGGAACUAGCUUCGUGUUUAUUACAAUUAGAAUGUACCAUAAAGGCAACGGAUCAUUUCGUUGUCACCAUUAACGACUCUGAAUCUAAUAAAAUCAAUAAAUUCGAGGCAAUGAAUAGCUUCAAUGCUGGAAAUAGAUAGAUCAAUGGAUCCGGAAUCGAGUUCUCAACGUGCUAUUGUAACAGAUGAUAAUGAUGUUAGAAAUGAAAGAAUAAAGAAGGGAAAGUUCGUGGUUCUCUUGAUUUUUUUCGUUGGUACAUCUAUCGGGCAUAUUAUUACAAUAGCAUUGGGUGUUCCGAUGUUAAGGCAUUGUCAUAAUGUUGCUUUAAUAGUCAUGAUUCUCGGAACUGUCCUGGGAAUUUUGCAGCAAAUUCCAGAAUUUUACCGCAAUUUCAUCCAAAUUAAACCAGAAAAUGUAGCUUACGUAAACUACUCCUUGGCCAUCAUCGUCAUCAUUCGUGUUGCUUGGUUGAUAACGGCUACUGUGACAAUUGUAACCUCAAAAUGCGACAAUAUAACUCCAGCCUGGAUAUGUAUUUCAAUUAACUGGGCUCUAUUUGGAUUUAUUGUGAUUAUUAUCGCAGCAGUGACGGUUGUUAAGUGUGUCAAAAAAAGAGGUCGACGCUACGAUGACUAAGACUUUAUUUCAAUUGAUUUAUUGACAGAAUGUUGAAUUGUACAGUAGUUGUUAAGUUUAAUAUUUAUAUCAAGUCCGAAUAAACUACAAGUCGAAAGUA